rnacentral:rRNA from 1 species
UAUUCGCAUCUUUCAUUUGACAAUGCUGGCAUUGAACGUGUGCACUUCUCCCCUGGUAGGACGUCGCGAUCUGUUGGGUGUCGGUCUAAGGCUUGCAGUGGAGCCCGUAAGCUUGCUUGCGGACCUGCAAUGUUUCCCGGCCGACUCGCUCGACAGUGUACAGAUGGCGCAGGGCCGCGAUUAUCGCGUUUGACCUUCGGCAAGCAUACCUGGUUGUGUUGGUGAUCGGACCUAGUGCCGUUCCCGGCCUCCGGUGGCUGUUGGCCGUUGUGCUCUCGAACAGACCCUUAUAAAUAGCCGAUCUGCGACGCUAUUGCUUUGGGUAAUUUCAGGACCCGUCUUGAAACACGGACCAAGGAGUCUAGCAUGUGCGCGAGUCAUUGGGACAUAACUAAACCUAAAGGCGUAAUGAAAGUAAAGGUUCGCCUUGCGCGAACCUAGGGAAGAUGGGUGUUCGCAUUCGUCGACACCCCGCAUUCCCGGGGCGUCUCAUUCUCAUUGCGAGAAGAGGCGCACCAAGAGCGUACACGCUGGGACCCGAAAGAUGGUGAACUAUGCCUGGUCAGGACGAAGUCAGG